rnacentral:rRNA from 1 species
AGAGUUUGAUCAUGGCUCAGAUUGAACGCUGGCGGCAUGCCUUACACAUGCAAGUCGAGCGGCAGCGCGGGGGCAACCCUGGCGGCGAGCGGCGCACGGGUGAGUAAUGCAUCGGAACGUGUCCUCUUGUGGGGGAUAACCAGUCGAAAGACUGGCUAAUACCGCAUGAGAUCGAGAGAUGAAAGCAGGGGACCCGCAAGGGCCUUGCGCGAGAGGAGCGGCCGAUGCCCGAUUAGCUAGUUGGCGGGGUAAUGGCCCACCAAGGCGACGAUCGGUAGCUGGUCUGAGAGGACGACCAGCCACACUGGGACUGAGACACGGCCCAGACUCCUACGGGAGGCAGCAGUGGGGAAUUUUGGACAAUGGGGGCAACCCUGAUCCAGCCAUGCCGCGUGUGUGAAGAAGGCCUUCGGGUUGUAAAGCACUUUCGGACGGAACGAAAUCGCGCGAUCUAACAAGUCGCGUGGAUGACGGUACCGUAAGAAGAAGCACCGGCUAACUACGUGCCAGCAGCCGCGGUAAUACGUAGGGUGCGAGCGUUAAUCGGAAUUACUGGGCGUAAAGUGUGCGCAGGCGGCCGCGCAAGUCGAGUGUGAAAGCCCCGAGCUUAACUUGGGAAUUGCGCUCGAAACUACGUGGCUGGAGUGUGGCAGAGGAAGGUGGAAUUCCACGUGUAGCGGUGAAAUGCGUAGAGAUGUGGAGGAACACCAAUGGCGAAGGCAGCCUUCUGGGCCAACACUGACGCUCAUGCACGAAAGCGUGGGGAGCAAACAGGAUUAGAUACCCUAGUAGUCC